ensembl:lncRNA
GUCAGUUUCUGGGCUGGUUCGGGCACGCAGAGGGGUGCAGACGGUGCGUGUGUGGUACGGUGAGGAGGACCAAAGACCAUAGAAACUGGCGGACUCGCAGCGCAGAGCGGUGGGAGCAAGGCGAUGGCUUUUCCGCGUUUCAGCGCGCAUGCGUGUCACUGCCUGGAGGACCAAACACCAUAGAAAUUGGCGGGCUUGCGGCGCAGAGCGUUCAGAACAGGGAGGUACUUUUCAUAGGAGGUGUGGAAGAAAUGUGAGAAAGAGGUGUCUUAGAUGAGAGGAGACGACUGGACUAUGUGGAUCAAGGGAGAAGAGUGAGUUGCUUGCUGCACAUUUUGCUUACGGAGCAUUAGUACAAGCUAUUCAAUUAAAGUAACUUUGGCUAAUUAGAUACUUCUGAAAGACCUCUGUCGCUAGAAGUGUCUUUUCCUUCAUUCACUUGUAGAAUGGGACAUCUAAGCAUCAUGCUUCUUCAUGCUCUGUUUUCAUGAUCAUACACUGUGCUGGUGUUCUUUAUUUGUUUUUAAAUGCAGAAGUGAUGCAGGCAUAAGCUGAUCCUGCACUGGGGUAAAUGUUGAGAUAUUAAGUAACUUAAUGUCUUACCUCUGUUUUCCUGUGGUCAUUUCCUUUUCACUUUGAGUCCCUUGACCCAAGUACAGUAGAAACAGUGAUUAAAAACAAGUGCACCUGCAGAGGCAGCUGCCAUAACUGCACUUGGAUUUGGCAGCAUGGACAGUGCUUCUAAAUGUGAGGGAAGAACAAGCAAUUGGCAUUCCAUGAUCAGUCUGAAACUUUCAGAGAGUCAUAGCAAUCUCCCCCGCUCCUAAAUAUGUACAUCUCGCAUCAGAAAACUCACUACAGUACAGUUACCAGAUGCUGAAUCAGCGUGAAGAAGAAACAGCCACACUGAAUGCAUAGAGGAAAAAUGGGUCACCUACCAUCAGUGAGCAUCAUGGCUCGCUGUCAGCUGAAAAUAUGGUUUGGGGCAUAGACAGUGAGUACAGCCAGAUGUCAUUUUUAAACACUGGCUCACUGUAUGCUGCCAACAAAUAAAAAGUCAUUUGAAUUUGAACUUCAAACUCAAUGGUUUUGGAAAUAAGCAAGGUGAGAACCUGCCUAUUUUGUAUGAGCUCCCUUUUGCUAAGCAUCCCUAGGGCUGCAGUUUUAGAGCCUGAAUGAGAGAAUCCAAAGCACCAGAGGGACAUAUUCUGUUGCAUCCUUAGUUUAUGGAAGUAGGGAGCUGCUCUUCUCUUUUUUUUUUUUGCACAUGGUAUCACUGCUCUGAUACGUAUAAUCAAUGCUAUGAGUUUUUGGAAUACAGUUUGUUUGUAACAGCAGCACAGCUGCUUUCUACUCCAUCUAGUUCCCUGUCAGUAGGCUGCUUCCUUUCAUGAUGGAAUGCACUUGUUGUUUUGAGCACCAGCAAACAGGAAAUUAGAGAAAGUGAACUGGACAAAUUGCAGACACUGUAAUUAUCUUUAUCUUUGAGCUCGUUGCAAACCAGCUGUCCCACCAGUCUGGUGAGAUGGCACAUCUUACAGCCAAGCUGAAAAUGAAGGAUGAAGGAGCACAAUUUGUCAGAGGAGGUGCAGAGAUCUUGGGGGACUCCAACAGUUAGCAGUUGUUUGACCAGCUAUUUUAAAAUUGACAUAGAUACCCAUUAUGAAGUUGAUGGUAACAGGAGGAGGAGCUCACUCAUCUCAUAGCGCUGAUUCUAUGAUUCUGUGUUAUUUGGAAAACAACCAAAACCACACCAAGACUGGACUGAACUCUUCUCUGACAUGAAUGGGCAGCACAGCUUGCAGAGAAUAACGCAGUCACAAAACCAUGGAGCUUCUUCUCUUUUGUGAGCUGAUUGUGCUCAAGAACACACACUAUACUAAUACACCAAGAACUGUCCUAACCAACCCUUCUUUGUCUCAGCUGUUACUUUUACCUUUCACAGUCAUGUCAAUGGAAUAUGUUUUAUAGUUCCAUUUCCUUGUUUUAAUCACCUGCUAGACAGCACAGAUGUCAGCUUGCAUUUCUUGCAUUGCAGAAGUACGAGAAUUGUUCCCCACUUACCUUCUCCAUGUUCACUGACUUAACAGUCUCUUUUUUGUGCCCCUGAUCAUCAUACAGGAUUCUUAGUUCUGAAGUUUCACCGUUAAGAUGGAUGGCCCAUAAUUACUGCAUACAGUGUUCAAGAGAAGGACAUAGGAGGAAAAAUAAAUAUCCAAAACCUAACAUGUAGAAAAGGACCAGUGCUACUCUAUAGCUUGACUUCCAUAGAGCAUGCACUGUUAUCUGAAAAGCGGAAAAUGUAUCCAGAUGGUAUAAUUCUUUUAAAAGAAUGUUUUCCUUUAUUUUAAAAAGAAUAUGACAGACUGUGUUUUAAAGAUUUGCAGCAUAAAUUCUUAAGAGUGGAAAAAAUGUUAUGUUAAUUUGGUCAUAGUUCUAAUGAUGAAGCUAAACAAACUUCUUUUCUCUCCAUCUUCUAUCUACCUGUCCAUGUUUAAUAAUGUAGUUCCUUGUUACCAAAGCACGAGAUCAGCUAUUGGUUAAUAACUUAAUGCUAACUCAAUUCUAAAGAGACUCCAUCCAUGUCAGAUAACCCACCUAGAAGAAAACUUUCCAGAAUAACUUUCUGAAGUAUUGGAGCCCUCGGUAAUUGUAAUUACAAAUGUAGUUCCUCUGACAGACCAAAGUAAACCCUGAACUCAAACAGGAAGGUUCUGACUGCUGUGUUGUAUGACAUCCAACUCUAGUUUGAAAUUUUUCUUGAUCUCCACCCCCCUCAAGAUUCAGAAUUUGGAUUAGUCGGUUUAGACACAGAGCUAGAAAAAUGCCACUUUUGUUAAUGAAAUUAAAAUAGCCCAUAAGCCGAAGAAGUAAGAAAGCAAAGAAUCUUCUUAUAAGGGGAUGGAAAUUGAUGCUAAAUUUACAUUUAUUUCAAUUUCUGAAGAAAAUAAAUACUGUCUUACCAUGUAUUAGGACUUUUGCUUAGUACGAAUUAUUUGUUGCUAUCUAAACAGGUUGAGUUGUGUGUUCUAGAAUACAAAAGUGACUUUGUUGUACAGUUUCAUCGGCCUGAUGAUUCUCUGCUGGAAAUCAGUGGAUGACUCAAAGCAAAGACAAAAGGCAGCCAAGUGUCAGACAGCAAAAGACAACACCGUUUUUCUUUCUUCAUGACAGCUGGGAUGAACAUUUGCAAGAUACGGAUCCAAAUGUUUCUGUACGUAAAACUGUUUGUCACCUGGUGAUCAGCUAUGCCUGUUUGUUACCAUGACCAAACAGUGAGUCCUCAUUUUGAUUCAUCAAGAACUUUGCCCUUUGUUGUGAACUAAAGUACUACUAAAACCUGACAGAGCAAGAACUAAGUUGUUCAAAAGGAUACUGAGUCAUGGUGCAGGAAACACUGAUUAUUAUGCCCAACUUGUUUUCACAUACAUGUGUGCAUGUGCAUAAUAGGUAGAUGUAAGCUCAUUGCUUGCCUUGCAAGGAACUGCUGUAUUUUGUAAGACACAUAGCAAGCAACUUCUCUUAUAUAGCAAGCAUAAUAAGUAAACUUCCCUUUGGUUUCAAUUUCUACAUCCAAAAUAUUUACAGGGACUAUUGAAAUCUGUCUAUCAACUCCUAGGCAAGGCCCUAGACAUUUUUCUAGCUGUUGCGUAAGAAACAACAAAUCUCAGUUUAUGUGGUGCAUGAGAGCUGGCACUGAUUUUCCUAGGAAGCACUGCAACUGUUCUGGUUUGGGCUGCGUUAGAGUUAAUUUUUCAUAGUGAGUGGUAUAUGUCCCUUAAAGAUAAUGCCUUUUCACAGUAUCUGUCUUAUUUUUAAAAGCAUUAAUUAAGAGGAAAGGCAGACAGCAGUAAAAGUAUGUCCACAAUUAACAUAGGAAAAUACUAAGCUCAUGUAAAAUGACUGUAGCGUGCUUUCUGUUGCUUUAUGAUGGAAAACAGAUCUGUACUAUCUGCACACAAAAAGGAGGAAAGCAUUAUUUAAAGUCUCUAAUAGCAUAUUAAGCUGGAGGAAAUUUUAAAUGAUUAGCCUAAUUAGUCUACUUCUUAACAAGGAUCAAGUAAGUUACUAAUGUAGAAAUGAGUAAGGCAGAAGGUUUGUACCUUCUAAGAAGCAUGGCUGCCCUUUAAGCUGCCAUCUGAAUCCACAGUCUCUCCUCUUAGAAUAAGGAAGUUAAGAUCUGGCACUGCUUCAGUUCAAUAAAAAACAAAAUAAUUUGGAUCUUGAUCCCCAAUUUAUCCUGUAGCUAUCUGAGAAAUUCUUUCCUUAUUAACAGAGAAAGAAGGAAGUAACUGUAGAAACUGCUUUAAGGCAGCUGCCUAGAAUUUUUCGUGGUAAUGAGCUCUGUUCAUAGACUUUAAAAAGUUUAAUUAAAUACAGAUGAAUGACAUUUCCUACUUUCGUAAAACUAUAGAUCGGCAUUUGUAAGAGCUCAUGAAGGCAUCCAGUCCUUGUCCUAAUUAGCCACGGUAGUUUAAAGCAAAAAAAAGUAGUGCUGGAGGGGGGGGAGGGGAUCUACUGUUGAUUUAUCAAUUAUGGUAUUUUCUAUUAUACCAAAAUGAUGCAGAAAGGCUUUGAAAUCCAUCAUCCCAAUGCCAGUUUCUGCAGUUAUGAAAAAAAUGCCUAUACUGACAACAAAGUCCAUUUCAUGCUCUUGUAUUCCACUUGACCUUCUAUCUUCUCAGUUUAAGGAUUGUGGCCUGAGGCCACCGCCGUGUCAGUCACCCACAUGUUAACUCUGGCAACAAACCAAGUAUUGAAUUCUUGCAGAAACGCCGAAAAGAUCGUUAGAAAAAAAGAAAAGCUUAUGUGUACAUACAUACUAUGAAGAGCAUUUGAGUGAGCAAACCCAGAAGGUGGGUUUGAGGACGGACCGGGCUGCAAGCUUCCAACCUGCGUAGUACAGAAGGACUCUCAGCAACUGGCCCAAGAGGAAACUGAAGAUGACUUGGUCCUGUGCUGUAGUAACAACACUUCACUGCUUUGGAAAAACAAUAAAAAGAAGAAAGAAAAAAGAAAGCAUUGAGAGUUCCAACACCAUAAAAAGAUAAGAAACAGAAUGUAUUUUGAGUGAAAGUGGAAAAGUCUUGUGUUACGCAACACAGUCAUGCAGAAAUCUCCAAAACAGGUGUGUUCAUAACAGCAUGGCACUGAGCAUGGAUUAAUUCAUUACAGCUGAGAUACUCCUAGGUUCUGAUUGGAAUAGUUUGUGGGUACAUCUUCUCACAGAUGUUCCAGCUCAGAUAUGUUACUGCCUCAGGCCUGCACUUGUACCAUUGGUUCUUGUGGUUUGGCUGAACUGGAGCAAGAGGAACAGAAAGACACAAGGGCUGUUUGCAAAGAAAAACAUAUAGAGGGGGAAAGUAGAAGCAGUUAAACAAAUAAAGAGGUAUUGAAGAGAAGGAAAAUCAAUGAGUCAUAAGUGAACAUGGACGAACUUUCAGAGGAAGUGAUGCAUGCAUGUAGAUGGAUAUUGGAUAUUACAUAGAGGGUAUUUCAAUGCUGGCAUUUGAUUUGAAAGAACAACCAGGCAGGUCCACUUUCUCUCCCUACUAAUUUACAUGAAAUUACUAACUCUCCUCUAAUUUGUAUUAGGACAUUUCAAAGCUCUGCGUGAUUUCCAAAGGCAAUUUGUGCCAAUGGGAAGGUAUACACACAGCAUAUGAAUGAGUACAAGGGAACUUGAUCAAAAUUCCAGUCUCAUGUAUUUUUUCUGAACACUUGCUGCACUCCUUUCAGAUCUGGAAAAUUGCAGGCUGACAUAUCUCUGGAUUUUUUAUGUUGUGCUUCUUUUCUCCUAAGAUCUACGCCCUACUGGUUCUGGGAAACUUGUGACCUCUGCAUUUUUAAUUAGAACUUGUAACAUUUUCCAUAGCAACAUAUUUUGAUGUCGCAAAUACAGAACCUGUCAAAUCAAACAAUUUCAAAGUGCAAAGCUACGGCCUUCUGGUCAAUUGAAGUCCAAGUACAUGAAAACACUGAGAUGCAAGGAAGACUGAAAAUUAUUUGUUGGUUAACUCAUAGCUUUGAUCUUCAUAAUUAAUAAAUCAGUACAGAUAUAAAAGAAUUACAUUGCAUGCUGGAGUGGUUUAGAUGAACUCAGUACUAAUUUCAUCGCACGUGAGAGCAGAUAGAAUCCAUCUGUCUGACUGGUGUGCCAGUACUAACAUGGUACAAAGGAGAGGAUCUAUUUCUAGGAAAUAGUCGAGAUGUGGAACAAACUUCACUCACAUGAUGAGCUGUGUGAGCAGGAAGUGAAGAAAACAGAAAUCCUCUGAAACGAGGCCUGAGCUCAGAUUUCAACAGACCCACAAUAUGAGCAGGAAUAAUAAUAAUGGGUUAAGAAAAGCAGUGUAACUUAGCACUUAAAUAUGUAUAUUAAAAAUAAGUCAUUUAUUUAUGAUACAUGCCCUGCAAGUGCCAAAUAAUACUUCUGUCAAGUCUGAAGAACAUAAACUGAGAAUUUUUGUCAUUCAGAUAUACUUAUCUUUCCUUUUCCUGCUUUAAGCUAAGACUAAUGGCCAAGGAAGUCAUAUUUUCCUGCCAUUACUAAGACUGCACAAGGUAAUUUGCCCCUCUGCAAGGACAUCCACGUGUAACUGUUAGUAACACCAGCAGCCACGAGAUAUGGAUAUGAUCAUCAAGUCUUACUAAAACAAAUGCUGAAUACCAUGAACCUUUCAGGAGGAAAAGGCAAGUGUCAAUGUGGAAUGCGGUAAGAACUUUCUUGUUUCUGGUAGCAUUGGGUAUGUGACUGCUAUCCCUCUUCUUAUUCCAUCUAUUUCCACUUUUUACAAAAAAAAAAAAAAAAAAAAAAAAAAAAAAACACUGGAAUAUUAAGUUAAUAUUAAGUUAAACGUGGUAUGUUUCAACCUUGCAUUGCAGAUAAGGAAUUCCUGGAGUUCCUGAAUCCUGCGUGAUUGCAGGCAGCUCAGCUGAGUGUGCAUAAGGGAAAGGGGAACAAAAAUAUAAGAUUUUUCUGUUUCCUACCAAUUAUCUGAUAUUUCCCCUCUACUGUCUUUGGUGUAAAAGAAAACCAAAGUUCAGCCUUCUAGGAAAUGUAUUCUGGUAACCUGAAAGACUUUAUAAAUAGAGUGCACAAAUAGAUGACAGUACUUCCAUGACAUAGAUUUUCUGCUUUAGAAUGAAAUGCUUCAUUUGAAAAAGCUCCUAAAAUUGUUAGAACAGUAAUUUAAAAAAAAAAAAAAAAGUUUAAACUCCACAAUUGAAUACAAAAAACGUUGCUGUGAAGGUUUUGAUUUCCAAGAAAUCCAUUUUAAACGUAUUUACAAAGUUUACAUAGAAGAAUAGAUCUGCUGCUAUCUAUAACAUUCACUUCUGUAGUAGAACAGCUAAUUUGCGACUAUUGGAUGAGAGAUACAGAAAGAGUCACUUUAGUGAAAGAAAAAAAAAACAUAUUAUUUUAAGGACAAAUAGUAAAAAAUGAUUGUUUUGGAGUUUAGAGACACAGAGUUUGAAGGAUUUUGCCCUCCGAUGCAGACUGCUCAUGCUUAUGCUGUAGCAAAGGAGGAGCAUCUUGACUACAAGAGUCUUAGUGGAAGAAAACUGGCAAUGCCUUUAUAAAAAUGUAUUUAAUUUCUGUGUUUGCAGUUUUCCCAGCUUCAUCCCUAGGUCCUGGCCUCAAGGGCCCUAGAGAUGUCACAGUUUUAAACAGUCUUAUAAAUCUAGGAGGGGAAAUGAGCUGUCUCUCAUCUUAAACAGAGAGCCUUGGAGAAUGUCUAUGGGGCUUUACCAAUGGAGCUGCCGAAAACAAAGCUAUGAUUCAGGGGUCUCUGACCUUUCCCAGCCCUCCUCCACCAGUGUCAGCCUGCAGCCUGCUCUUUAAAAGUUUCUGCUCACCCAGGGAGCAAAAUUAGAAAUCUUCUCCAGGGACAAUUUUUCUUCCAUCAAGCCACUCAUCAGCCCACUGAGGCAUGGAAACCAAAAAGGAAAAAGUGAGUUAAAAGAAUGUAUGUCUCUUGGUAAGGAUUUCCCACAGCAGAGUGUAAGUGUCCAGACUACCUCAUCAGCAGAGUCCCAGCCUUUACUAUAGGUCUUGGUAUUCAGUCUGUACUGUAGUGGUAUAGAAAAGUGCCAAGCACUGUGCAGGUGAUGCAUGCAUCAAUACAGCAGAUGUGGAGGUGUGUUUGAACUGCUUAACAUCAGCACUUACCAAAUGUUGAAGACACUCUAGCCCCUACGACAAAUAAAAGCAUUCAUUCAGAUGUGCAUGGCAUUUCAGGAAUGGAAUCAUUAUUAUCUUCUCCGAAAAUGUUUUGUCUUAUGUUUAAUAUAAUAUAAUAUAUAUUGCUUAUUGGAAACAAAUCCUUGUUAGUCUCGUUGUUUGUUUGUUUCCUAAUUGUGGAUCACCACAGAACAGGGUACAGUUCAUAAAUACCUCAAAUAUCUGAAAGGUGAUUGCAGCAGAGCAGGGCUGGUCUCUUCUCACUGGUGGCAGGAUGAGGAGAAAUGGCCUCAGGCUGCACCAGGGGAGGUUUAGGUCGGAUAUCAGGAAGAAUUUCUUUACAGAAAGGGUUGUUAAGCUCUGGAAUGGGCUCCCCAGGGAGGUGUUGAGUCACCAUCCCUGGAUGUGUUUAAAAUCCAUCUGGAUGUGGUGCUCAGGGACAUGAUUUAGUGGAGGGUUGUUAGAGUUUGGGUAGUAUGGUUGGGUCUUGAUUGGACUCAAUGAUCUUUAAGGUCUUUUCCAAGCAAAUUCUAUGAUUUCCGGAGCAAUUCUAUGAUUCUGUCAUUUAAUAUGGAGAAAAUUCAAGUAAACUAAAAAUCAGAUUUAAAAGAUAACCUGGUGCAAUGUACUUUUAUUUAUUAAUUUGUUUAUUUUUAUUCCCCAGGCCUUUUUAAAGUUAACCCUAGAAAACACCCCAUGUUGGCGACUCCUUGUAAUUCAUGUCAAUGUUCUUUCAGCAGCACAGUUGCUGCUUCCACGCCGUGAGCAUCUCCUGUAUUUGCUUUAGAACUGCUUCCUGCUGAUGCGUUAAGCACAGGAAGUGAAAGGGUCUGUUGUCGAUUCCAUAACUACCUCCCCCCAUUCAGCUGAAGGAAGGGAAAUAAGAAAAUUGAAAGGUCAGACUUCUGAAGUCAUCUUCGCCACGUGCUUAACAUUUACAUCAUCAAAUUAAUGGAAUGACUGCAACCACAAGCACAAAAGAUAAAGGACAGAAGCUCUUUUUCCUUCGCAGUACAAAUCCUUCUCACAGAACCUCACACUGAAUCUUUUCCCAGCUGUACAGGAUUUACUUCCCAUUCUCUUCCAAGAUGCCAGAAACUCAGCCUCUAGCUAAAGCCUGCUAAGACAACUCUUUUUUGUUUCUCUUGGUGAAGCAGACGCACCGCAUUCUGAACGCUUGCACUUUCCACCAUGAGAAGUGUUCUGGGAGAGAAAGCCCCAAAAGAUCAAAUGUUAUCAUUUCUCAUUAAGUCAGUUUACACCACUGUUGUCAGUCAGUGUAAGGAACAUUAAUAAGUACAAGCUGUGGUAAAUUCCUGGAGGUCGCCUUGCAGUGAUAAGGAAGCCUUGCAGUGAUCUGGAAGCCUACCUGCCUGCCAUGGAGCCCAAAGGCAGUCAUGCCAUCCCAUCCAUCUCCCUGAAGUCAAACUGGGCCCUGAAGUCUGAAGACUGCAAUAUUUCGUGUAGUUCUGCCUACAUACCAAACAUCCUCAGCAUCAAAAAUCCACUUGGCAGGUCUUUGGGCAGGCACUGAGUUUUCAUAUGUAUCAACCCGUCCAUGUAGAAUGAGAGCCUUUUCACCUGCGUGUAACUUGUUAAUGUGAGCAAAUAAAGCAUCUGGGAAGGGCAGGGAAAGGAAGGGGGAAAAGAAUAAGGUCAGAUCUGUAAAGUAAGUCGAUCUCUAAGGAUUAAGCAGUGCUUCUUUGUAGAGAUCCUCCACCAAAAAAAAAAAAAAACCCAGACAAGAUUCAGUGCUCUCAACAUAAACCACUAUGGAGACCAGCUGAACUCUUGGCAGAUAUCACAGGGUACCCCAAAAAGACAUAAAACAUAUGAUAAGGUGCUAAAUGCAACAUUAUCCAUGUAGCAUCUUUUAUUCAGCAUCUACAGUCAUCUGGGGUAGGCAAACUCAGGCCAGGGCAGCAGUAGUUGAGGUUUAUGUCCAAGGAUCAAGAUUAAAUUUAAAUAAGACACACAUUGCUUGCUUUUUUGUUAGCUGAGGCAAAGAGGACAUCACUCAUUCAGUCUGCAAACACUCCCACUGUGACACACUCAGUGCUAAACUGAGAAACGUUCUUAGGAAUGUCAUAGGUGAGGAAAUGAGCAGCAGCAAAUGGUACCUCCGCUUUGAUACCUGGGUUCAUGGAAACUUAUUUGAAGUGAUGUAAUAGGGCACAACCAUUUACCAGGUGUUGCCUAUUGAGAGGGAAAACUAUACAAAGCCACAUCUGACUUUAAACAGGUUCCUGUAAUGCUAAUUUACUUAGAGAUGGCACCUGGACAGGACAUUGUCUUCAGGAAGCUGUAGUGCACAGCCCAAGAAAUACACACAAACAGCUGUAAUUACUAAUAAGAACACACGUUUACAUUUGUAAGUGUUGGAAAGCCUUCAAUUUAGCAUCUCUAUAAAUGCUGGAAAGCUCUUAGAAUAAAUGACCAGAAUCCCUCCUUCCUUGGGAAGCCAGCAAGGGCCCCACCUGACGGCUCUCCCAACGAAGAGUGUUGGAAGCCAUUUUUUGCAGCUGGGGAAGGAAAAUACAAGCUUAGGGGAAGAAUCUAUCACAACUUCCAGCAUGAGAAGGAAAGCAAGAGACAACUUGUCUGAGUCUGCCUUCUUGCAGCAGGAGGGCUACGAAAGUGUUUUUAAUGUCAGUCAAAACCAUUCUCCACGAUGGAUAAAACACAACAGAAGUGGACCAGGUCCAGUUUUGGGGAGUGAUGCUUUCUGACUGUGAUGGUGCUGUGGUGAAUAUUUCACAUCAGUGUCCGCUUUGUAAAAUUCAAGAUCUGAGUAUCUCUCUAUGCUGUUCGCCUUCUAUAGUGGUUUCCAGCGUAGCUUGCUUUCUUCAACAAUCAACAUCACCUACUAUCUGCAGGCACAAAUUAUCUAUUAUUAUUAUUUCUGCAGUUUAACAACACAAAGCAAAAGCAGAAAUAAAAGGAGAGAACAAAAGCAGCUCGUGAAGUCCACAACAUGCAUAAGAUUUGAUAUACAAUGCAUUAACUUCUCCCCAUUCGGUCCCCACGAGGACAGCGGCUCCAGGGCUGUGUGGUCCUAAAGCUUUAAAGUCAUUGAAAUUCUAAUCUUUAAAAAACACUGAAAGAUGAACUUUGACUGUACAAACCUUCAAAUAAAA